rnacentral:rRNA from 1 species
GAUGAACGCUGGCGGCGUGCCUAAUACAUGCAAGUCGAGCGAACGGACGAGAAGCUUGCUCCUCUGACGUUAGCGGCGGACGGGUGAGUAACACGUGGAUAACCUACCUAUAAGACUGGGAUAACUUCGGGAAACCGGAGCUAAUACCGGAUGAUAUUUUGAACCGCAUGGUUCAAUGGUGAAAGACGGUUUUGCUGUCACUUAUAGCUGGAUCCGCGCUGCAUUAGCUAGUUGGUAAGGUAACGGCUUACCAAGGCAACGAUGCAUAGCCGACCUGAGAGGGUGAUCGGCCACACUGGAACUGAGACACGGUCCAGACUCCUACGGGAGGCAGCAGUAGGGAAUCUUCCGCAAUGGGCGAAAGCCUGACGGAGCAACGCCGCGUGAGUGAUGAAGGUCUUCGGAUCGUAAAACUCUGUUAUUAGGGAAGAACAUAUGUGUAAGUAACUAUGCACGUCUUGACGGUACCUAAUCAGAAAGCCACGGCUAACUACGUG